rnacentral:rRNA from 1 species
CCUACGGGUGGCAGCAGUCGAGAAUCAUUCACAAUGGGGGAAACCCUGAUGGUGCGACGCCGCGUGGGGGAAUGAAGGUCUUCGGAUUGUAAACCCCUGUCAUGUGGGAGCAAAUUAAAAAGAUCGUACCACAAGAGGAAGAGACGGCUAACUCUGUGCCAGCAGCCGCGGUAAUACAGAGGUCUCAAGCGUUGUUCGGAAUCACUGGGCGUAAAGCGUGCGUAGGCUGUUUCGUAAGUCGUGUGUGAAAGGCGCGGGCUCAACCCGCGGACGGCACAUGAUACUGCGAGACUAGAGUAAGGGAGGGGGAACCGGAAUUCUCGGUGUAGCAGUGAAAUGCGUAGAUAUCGAGAGGAGCACUCGUGGCGAAGGCGGGUUCCUGGACAUUAACUGACGCUGAGGCACGAAGGCCAGGGGAGCGAAAGGGAUUAGAUACCCUUGUAGUC